GAUAAACAGGUAUUUAGGGUGUAUAGUGCCCAGAGUCAAUGCUUGGUAUUGGAAGAUCUUAUGACAAACAGGUAUUUAGGGUGUAUAUUGUACACUGUCAAUGCUUAGUAGUGGAAGAUCUUUUGGUAAACAGGUAUUUAGGGUGUAUGGUGCCUGGAGUCCAUGCUUGGUAUUGGAAGAUCAUAUGAUAAACAGGUAUUUAGG